rnacentral:snRNA from 1 species
UACUCUGGUUUCUCUCAGACUGUAUAAAUCUUUCGCCUUUUACUAAAGAUUUCCGUGGAAACUACCCAGCCAAGAAGCUGAACAAACACUAAGGAGAAUAAAUAUAAAGAGAGUUC